rnacentral:rRNA from 1 species
UCAGGGAACACUGAAUGGAGGACCGAACCGACUUACGUUGAAAAGUGAGCGGAUGAACUGAGGGUAGCGGAGAAAUUCCAAUCGAACUUGGAGAUAGCUGGUUCUCUCCGAAAUAGCUUUAGGGCUAGCCUCAAGUGAUGAUUAUUGGAGGUAGAGCACUGUUUGGACGAGGGGCCCCUCUCGGGUUACCGAAUUCAGACAAACUCCGAAUGCCAAUUAAUUUAACUUGGGAGUCAGAACAUGGGUGAUAAGGUCCGUGUUCGAAAGGGAAACAGCCCAGACCACCAGCUAAGGUCCCAAAAUAUAUGUUAAGUGGAAAAGGAUGUGGCGUUGCCCAGACAACUAGGAUGUUGGCUUAGAAGCAGCCAUCAUUUAAAGAGUGCGUAAUAGCUCACUAGUCGAGUGACACUGCGCCGAAAAUGUACCGGGGCUAAACAUAUUACCGAAGCUGUGGAUUGUCCUUUGGACAAUGGUAGGAGAGCGUUCUAAGGGCGUCGAAGCAUGAUCGCAAGGACAUGUGGAGCGCUUAGAAGUGAGAAUGCCGGUGUGAGUAG